CCAAGGCAGCCUCGGAACCCGCACCUCAGUGCACAGUUGACUCCAUUACUGGGUAAGUGUAACUUGAGAGAGCUUAAAAGUCCUAAAACAGGAGGAGCUGCUCUUCCAUGUGUCCAAGCAGCACGGCAGCCUAGCUCCACCCAUGUCUAGUCUAUUUUAAUAGCCACUUAGUCACAAACCCUGGUCAACGUUAGCGUUCAUAUUUGUGUUUUGCCUAUUUCACAAAAAAACUGACCUUUUAUACUAAAUCAUCAUCGUUAACCAUUUCACUGCUCUAAAACACUGAUAUUUGUGUUAGGCGAUGUCUCACAAGUACAACAGUACCCCCCAUGUACAUGUUUUCUGAGUUUUAGAUAGUUAUAGUUAGAGGGUCAAAUAUAGGGCUUGCAAAUUAAAUUCUCAGAACACUUUCUGCCUGGGCUGUCAGGGAGGUCCCUCAAGAUGUGAUUAACAAAAUCAAAUCACAUAAUUACGUAAAUC